rnacentral:lncRNA from 1 species
GUCAGGAUGAUUGUUUAUGUCGUGCUGGUCUGUUUGACUAGAUGACCAUGUCACAGACUUACCUGCCCCUCAAGACCACCCUGAUCCCUGGUGGCUCUGGUUUGGCCUGAGGCUGGCAUGUGGGGGCAGAGGAAGGGAAGUCAUCGACAAUCUCAGUACCUGCACUCAGCCCCAUGCCAGGCUGAUGUCACCAGGCGUGAGUCCUGUCAUCAGACACAGGGAUGGGGAAAGGCUUCUACGUAUCCCCAGUGCACUGGGAGAGCAUCUAUCCCAUGCUUGCUGCUUAGUGGGCACUCAAGAGAAGCUCUGGAGCAAGUGAACGCCACUUGAAGGUAUUUGUGAAACAUGACUGACCUGCUCAGUGUACACAGGAUCGGAAUCAUGACUUGUGCCAUAAAACCGGUAGAGCUGCCACAGUAUAAAAAUGGCCAAAUUUUUAUCAGGUAGAAAAUAGAUAAGUAUUGCCAGUGCUACAUUCAAAUAUUAUACACCAGUCCUAAAAGAUCUCACCCUUGUACAUGAUCAUCUUUUUUUUUUUAAGGAUUUAAUUUAUUUGACACAGGGUGCACAAGCAGGGGGAGUGGCAGACGGAGGGGGAGAAGCAGACUCCCACUGAGCAGAGAGCCUGCUACAGGACUUGAUUCUAGGACCCCGGGAUCAUGACCUGAGCUGAAGGUAGAUGCUUAACCAACUGAGCCACCCGGGUGCACUGUCAUCUUUAAUUUCUCUAUCCCAGGAAAGAAAUCCUCACCUGGAAAACAAGUCUUCCAGAAUGUUCUUCACUACAACUGUAUAGCAGAACACAGCUGCUUUUUUUUUUCUUCUAUGGGCAUUGUUGGUGUCAGCCUGGUGUUCAAGGUUUGAUGGGGUUGUGGGGAUGUGCC